GACGAACGCUGGCGGCGUGCUUAACACAUGCAAGUCGAACGGAAAGGCCCUGCUUUUGUGGGGUGCUCGAGUGGCGAACGGGUGAGUAACACGUGAGUAACCUGCCCUUGACUUUGGGAUAACUUCAGGAAACUGGGGCUAAUACCGGUUAGGAGCUCCUGCUGCAUGGUGGGGGUUGGAAAGUUUCGGCGGUUGGGGAUGGACUCGCGGCUUAUCAGCUUGUUGGUGGGGUAGUGGCUUACCAAGGCUUUGACGGGUAGCCGGCCUGAGAGGGCGACCGGCCACAUUGGGACUGAGAUACGGCCCAGACUCCUACGGGAGGCAGCAGUGGGGAAUAUUGCACAAUGGGCGGAAGCCUGAUGCAGCAACGCCGCGUGCGGGAUGACGGCCUUCGGGUUGUAAACCGCUUUCGCCUGUGACGAAGCGUGAGUGACGGUAAUGGGUAAAGAAGCACCGGCUAACUACGUG
rnacentral:rRNA from 1 species